UGCCAGCCGCCGCGGUAAUACGGAGGGGGUUAGCGUUGUUCGGAAUUACUGGGCGUAAAGCGCACGUAGGCGGACUGGAAAGUUGGGGGUGAAAUCCCAGGGCUCAACCCUGGAACUGCCUCCAAAACUAUCAGUCUAGAGUUCGAGAGAGGUGAGUGGAAUUCCAAGUGUGGAGGUGAAAUUCGUAGAUAUUUGGAGGAACACCAGUGGCGAAGGCGACUCACUGGACCAUUAUUGACGCUGAGGUGCGAAAGCGUGGGGAGCAAACAGGAUUAGAUA
rnacentral:rRNA from 1 species